GUAAAAUCAGGGUUCUCGGGCAAGAAAAGAUCUUACACUCUGGGGGUGAGACAGCUUCCCCUCUUUUCUUCCUCUUCCCACUUUGUCCUUUUCCAAGUAAGAGAUAGAGUCACCCCAUCUCCACUCCUGCCAAGUUCACUUCACUGCCCUUUACUGGCCUAUUGCCUUUGCCCUGCACUGGGCCCAGGGAACCUCCCACUGUCCUCAGUGGGCGGGGCUACAGGUAGAAUGUAUUUUGAGGGUCCCAGGAGUUCAUAAUUGCAGGCCUUGCCUCAACACAGAGCCUGGUGUUUUGCAGAACACUUGCAGAGCCAUUAUCUCUGUGAGCCUUAUGGCAGUUGUGGCUAGGCAGGGAAGGGACCACUUAUCGCCCCACUUGUAGAUGAGGACCCAAAGCCUCCCAGAGGUAGGUAGAGACAUGCCCGGAAGCAGGAACAGAAUCAGAUCCAUGUUCUCCAAAUUCUAGCCCCCUUUCUCCCAAACUUAUUCUGGACAGUUUGUCCUGUCCCUGAUGAUAGGCUUGGAUCAGGGGUUGCAGGUCUAGGGGCCUGCGAACCAGCCCCCUGAGCAGCUGGGCAGCGGGGAAGCCUCAGUGACUGGCCCCUACCUAGACUGGGCCAUUUCCCCAGCUGCCAGCCAGCUCCUACCCCAGCAAAGGCCCUGUCUCUCCUGAGGGAUGCCAUAAUCAGGGCCCAGAGGACAGUGGUGAGCAACAAGGCCACUGCCAGAAGAGGCCAACCUGGGGCUGUGGGUGUGAUGAAGAGCGCUGUUCCCCUCCUUUUUCUCCCCUCUUACUCUUUGGCCAGCCAGGCCCUGCCCACUCACUGUCCCCUAGGGCAGUGGAUUUUAAGGAGGCUUGGCUCCUCCCUGUCGG
rnacentral:lncRNA from 1 species